GCGGUAAUACCAGCUCUCCGAGUGGUAGGGACGAUUAUUGGGCUUAAAGCGUCCGUAGCCGGCUUAGCAAGUCUCCUGUUAAAUUCAGCGACCUAAUCGUUGAGCCGCGGGAGAUACUACUAGGCUAGGAGGCGGGAGAGGCCGACGGUAUUCUCGGGGUAGGGGUGAAAUCCUAUAAUCCCGG
rnacentral:rRNA from 1 species